AAGCGUUGAAAAGCUUUCGGAUGACCUGAGGGUAGGAGUGAAAGGCCAAUCAAACCUGGAGAUAGCUCGUACUCCCCGAAAUGCAUUUAGGUGCAGCCUCGGGACUAUGCCGCGGAGGUAGAGCGACUGAUAGGAUGCGAGGGCUUCACCGCCUGUCAAGUCCUGACAAACUCCGAAUGCCGCGGCACGAAUCCCGGGAGUGAGGGCGUGGGUGCUAAGGUCCACGUCCGAGAGAGGAACAACUCAGACCACCGGCCAAGGCCCCCAAAUACGGGCCGAGUUGAAGCCAAUAACGAGGUGGGAUUGCAUUGACAGCUAGGAUGUUGGCUUGGAAGCAGCCAUUCAUUUGAAGAGUGCGUAACAGCUCACUAGUCGAGUGAUCCCGCAUGGAUAAUACACGGGCAUAAGUCCGUUGCCGAAGCCGUGGGAUGCCACAUAAGUGGCAUCGGUAGGGGAGCAUUCCGCGGGCCGCAGAAGGUGGGGCGUGAGCCCUGCUGGAGGCAGCGGAAAAGCAAAUGUAGGAAUAAGUAACGAUAAAGGGGGCGGGAAACCCCCUCGCCGUAAGACCAAGGGUUCCUGAUCAACGCUAAUCGGAUCAGGGUAAGCCGGGGCCUAAGUGGCAGCCGCGAGGCGAACACGAUGGACAAACGGUAAAGAUUCCGUUGCCCCUGCGGUCAAGUGAUGUGGAGACGGAGCAGUGACACACCCGCGCGCUGACGGAAUAGCGCGUUGAACCGUGUAGCUAAACGCCGGGGAGGCAAAUCCCCCCGGAGUGGCGAGGCGGGACAGUACGGCGAGCCCCCGGGCAAGCCGACAGCGGUGGUAAGCAUACUCCCGAGAAAAUCCGCUAAGCGUUAUAAAGACCGCAGGGCCCGUACCGCAAACCGACACAGGUGGUCGGGUAGAAUAUACCAAGGCGCUCGAGAGAUUCACGGUUAAGGAACUAGGCAAAUUGACCCCGUAACUUCGGGAUAAGGGGUCCCCACUUUAUGGUGGGGCGCAGAGAAUAGGUCCAGGCAACUGUUUAACAAAAACACAGGGCUGUGCAAAGUUGAAAGAUGAAGCAUACAGCCUGACACCUGCCCGGUGCCGGAAGGUUAAGAGGAGGCGUCAUCGCAAGAGAAGCGCUGAAUUGAAGCCCCGGUAAACGGCGGCCGUAACUAUAACGGUCCUAAGGUAGCGAAAUUCCUUGUCAGGUAAG
rnacentral:rRNA from 1 species